rnacentral:lncRNA from 1 species
AGGGCAGUCCUAGAUGAAGGAACCGCGCUACCUUAAUAGACCUGCAACGAGGGAAUACAAAACAAACAUGCAUAAGGUAAACACGCCAACAUAGGGCAGGUCAGUACAGGUGAUCGGAAUGAACCUCCAGGUGGUAUCCCACAAAUAAAGUUGAAUACCAAGAAAGCCGUCUCUUCUAAGGUCAUGCGAGCCCUCACAAA